rnacentral:rRNA from 1 species
GUCGAACGAAGUGAUGCUGUAAAGUAUCACUUAGUGGCAGACGGGUGAGUAAUAUAUAGGAAUCUACCUAGUAGUAAGGAAUAAUUCUUGGAAACAAGAACUAAUACCUUAUACGCCCUAUGGGGGAAAGAUUUAUCGCUACUAGAUGAGCCUAUACUAGAUUAGCUAGUUGGUAGGGUAAUGGCUUACCAAGGCGACGAUCUAUAGCUGAUCUGAGAGGAUGAUCAGCCACACUGGAACUGAGAUACGGUCCAGACUCCUACGGGAGGCAGCAGUGGGGAAUAUUGGACAAUGGGCGAAAGCCUGAUCCAGCUAUGUCGCAUGAGUGAAGAAGGCCUUCGGGUUGUAAAGCUCUUUCAGUGAGGAAGAUAAUGACGGUACUCACAGAAGAAGUCCUGGCUAACUCCGUGCCAGCAGCCGCGGUAAUACGGAGAGGGCUAGCGUUAUUCGGAAUCAUUGGGCGUAAAGGGCGCGUAGGCGGAUUAGUAAGUUAAAAGUGAAAUCCCAGGGCUUAACCUUGGAACUGCUUUUAAAACUGCUUAUCUAGAGAUUGAAAGAGGAUAGAGGAAUUCCUAGUGUAGAGGUGAAAUUCGUAAAUAUUAGGAGGAACACCAGUGGCGAAGGCGUCUAUCUGGUUCAAAUCUGACGCUGAGGCGCGAAAGCGUGGGUAGCAAACAGGAUUAGAUACCCUGGUAGUCCACGCUGUAAACGAUGAAUGUUAAAUAUAGGAAGUUGACUUUCUGUAUUAAAGCUAACGCGUUAAACAUUCCGCCUGGGGACUACGGUCGCAAGAUUAAA